UACGUAGGGUGCGAGCGUUGUCCGGAAUUAUUGGGCGUAAAGAGCUUGUAGGCGGUUUGUCACGUCUGCUGUGAAAAUCCGGGGCUCAACCCCGGACUUGCAGUGAGUACGGGCAGACUAGAGUGUGGUAGGGGAGACUGGAAUUCCUGGUGUAGCGGUGAAAUGCGCAGAUAUCAGGAGGAACACCGAUGGCGAAGGCAGGUCUCUGGGCCACUACUGACGCUGAGAAGCGAAAGCAUGGGGAGCGAACAGG
rnacentral:rRNA from 1 species